ensembl:lncRNA
ACCAUACCUAACCCUAACCCUACAGACAGACAGUCCUUUAACCCAACCAACGGGUUAAUCUACAAGUGGGCGACCAUGGGGCCUACAACUUUGGCCGGCCGCGCCCGUACCCUCCGACCCGCGCGUAUAUGAUGUGGAGUGCAACCCCUCCCUUCCCCCUCCGGUUUCCACGUGUCAGAGAUGGAAGUGGAUCAACCGACUCAAAACUAGAAACCAAACACAUGGCGAGUCACCGCUGCGUUGCUGGGUGUGGGGUAUGGACGCAGCAAGCCAAGGACUUUUUAUCCCUUACACUCACUGGGAUCCUCCCAAAUCCAGCCUUAUACAAGGGUUUUUUCUCCACCCUUGCACCCUCAGGAUUGGUUUGAUGGUGAAUAGGUUAAAAAUAAUCAUUAGAUUAUAUACCAACUAAAAUAACCCUACUCUACUCCUGACCCCUGGAUGUACACUACCUACUCUACUUUUUUUCAACUCAAAAGCAUUUUUUACUUUUUAUUUCUUACUUUUUACUAAAGAACCUGGACUCUACUACAACAUACUCAAAAACUUUUUUUUGAUGAACACUACCCCCUCCAUUUUUUCAACGAAAGAAGACUUCUUCUCCAAGAUUUUACCUUUUUCAACUAAAGAGGAUUUUCUCAAAGAUACCACCUUUUUUUUACUCAAGAUAAAGGUUUUUUUCUCAAGACACUACCCUUUUUCAGCUAAAGGGAAAGACUUUUUUUCAACAAAGAACUGGACUUACUACACUGACACAGGUGUAAGAGACUUUUUACCCAUCCUGACGAACGUAUCUCCAACUUAGGAGCAAAAUGAUACAAAUUACAUUAUAGGCCCACCACACUCACACCAAAAACCUAGGUUAGACCCCCACCCAUAUAAAAAAAAAAAAAAAAACUGGAAACAGCAUAAAAAAGCUUUUUCGGAUCCGUACAUCCCAUAAUCCAAGUGGACUUGAACACCGCAAAACAGCCAAAUCUACCGCAUAUCCGGGAACCCAAGUGGACACGAACGCGAUCAAAGCUAAAACUCCGCUAACAAGCGCCAACUAGAAAAGAUAAAAACAGCACCAUUUUCGAUCCGGGUUAAAGGAACACCCCCCUAGUUAUCCUAUCUGCCACUACCCCUUAAUAAAGAAACAAGGUUCAUGCCCUCUAACACCACAAAAAGACCUAAAAACCACGGCCACUACUUUUCCCUGCACAUCGCACCUUACUGCAUAUAAGCAACGUGACUCAACAAAAAUCGGAGGAAAAAUAACUCAACCAAAUUCAAAGACCUAUCACCAGACCUAUGGGUUACCCAGAACCCCAACUAAAAAUUCUAUAGGAACCCACAGAUGUCCACUCUACCCUCUACCUUUCCUGGACCCACAGAACCUUACCUUCGGGUAUUUCCAACCCCAAACCCCCUACCAGAGCAGACCGCUCCCAACGUUAACACACAAGUCAAUGGUGACACGUAGGUCAAAUACACACUUUUCAUAGGAGGAUCUAUCCUACUUCUACACAUCACAGGAACUCCACGUAUGGCUCCUCUUGACCCCCAGGACUUCUAGUCCUACUUAAAAUUCACCUGGUACCUCUCGGAUACCCACAACCCAAACAGCACCCCAAAAGCAAAGAGUCCACUUCUCCUAUACAAUUCCCCACACCUUAGCCCUGGCCCCCUAACCCGAACUGCAACCCCAGUUCCAACCCCUCUGUGUAUGUGUGUGUGUGUACAUGUAUCUGUACCUGACCUCAUGUUGUUAACCCUGUCUGUCCCUUACAAUGUAUUGUGUCCCCUGUUUUGUCACACUCCACUCUUCAUUCAUACCAAAUAACA